GUUCACUAGCAAGUGAAAUGUUUCUCAUUGUCUCUUGACUAUCUUGCGUAAGUGAUGUGAAUGGGGUGGAUUUACUUAUUAAGGGCAAGGAUGCUAUAGGUGAGAAAAAAGAAAACUUGGAUGUACUAGUGGAUGGAACAGUAGGUCUGGUGUGAAGACCAGGUAAUGUGUAAGUGUAUUCUUGAAGAUAAGCAGGUAUUGUAUGAACUCUGUAUGACCUCCUUAGUUCAGGUGGAUUGGGUUGCAACAGGUAGUGUAUUUGGAGGUGGUGACAUAGGUUGAUGAGAUGAUAUAUCAUCACUGUUUUCACAUGUGGAAAUAUGUGAUAUUUGUAUAGAAAUAUUCGAAUGAUCAGGUAGUGGUGUUUCAGUGUGAACAGACUUUGGAACAACACAAUCAGAGAUAUCCUCUGUGUAUCCAAAUGACUAAUACCAGUGGAGUGUGUGUUAGUGUUCAAGUUUGAAGUAUUGUUGAAGUAGGACCUUACUGACAUUAAAACGAAGGGAAAAGAAGAGUUAUCAGGACAUAAUGCAAAGGGGAAAACAGCUUCAUGAAACACAACAUCUCUAGAAAUAGACAAUCUUUUUAUGGUUAAGUCUAAUACUCUGUAACCUUUGGCGCCAAAAGGAUAUCCUACAAAUAUGUGAGUGGUGAUCCUUGGUUCAAACUUGUAUUUGUGUCCUUUGAGAAUGGUGGGAUAGCACAAGCAUCCAAAGUCCUUGAGGUGAUUAUACAAUGGUGGUCUUUGGUUCAAUAACUCAUAUGGACGUUUGUUGCCUAAAACUGAGGAUGGUAUUCUAUUUAUUAAGUAUAUAGCUGUCAAGAAGCACUCCCCAAUAUGAAAGAGGUAGUUUGUAUUGGUACAACAAGGCUCUUGAUAUUUCUAGGAGAUAUUUAGGUUUUCUCUCCACAACGCCAUUCUAUUGUGGUGUGUAGGAACAGGUUCUCUGGUGUACAAUUCCCUUGGAUUGAAGGUAGUUCUGUUUCAUUAUUAACAAAUUCAAGACCAUUGUGAGAAUCUUGACAGUGAUUGCAUAUUGAUUCUCAACAAGGGAAAUGAAAGAUUUUAUGACAUGUAGAGCAUUACUUUUGUUGCUCACCAGGUGAGUCCAAGUUGAUCUAGUAAAGUCAUCAACCGGUGUGAGAAAAAAUCUAUGAUUGUCAUGAGUAGAUGUAUGAUAUGGUCCCCACAUAUCAACGUGCAAAUUAUCAAAAGGUUUUAUUGUAGUGGUGGUCUUUUCUGGGAGGGUAAGUCUAGUUUGUCUGGACAUUGGACAGAUCGAGCAAAUGAAGGGUUGUUUAGGUGACAAAUGUGGUAGUGAGGAUAUCCCUUUCAUCUUCACAAAGGAUACAUGGCCUAGUCUUAAGUGCCAUAAAAGAUCAUUGUUAUUUCCAUGAGACGUAGAAGUUAAAGAACGACAGACAGAACAAGUUCCUUUAUUUACAGGAUGUGAACUAUAUACCAGGUGAUGAUGCAGGAUGUGAACUAUAUACCAGGUGAUGAUGAGAUACAUUUUGCUUAUUGUAUUUACAAGAACCACAACCAAGACUGGACAAACUAGAACAAGAAUCAGACAGGUAGGGAAAAAUAAGGGGUGAAAAAGACUUGCAAUAUGCAGCUACAUUUGGAUGCUUGUUGUGACAUUUGGAGCAAAGGUAGUAUAGUCCAUCUUUGGCUC
rnacentral:lncRNA from 1 species